AUGGUGCUUGACGAGACAAUGGACGCAGGUUCACAGAACUGGUACAUCUUUACAAGCUUCUUGCAACCUCCCUACAUGCCGGGUUGCAUAUUUGCUUGGCGUGUCACGUGGACCGUAGCUUAUGUAAGCACAUAUGACAAAUCCUUGCAUACCCCAAUCGGGCUUAUUUUUCGAUGAAGUGUUGCAUUGGGCUUGAAAAACAUUUGGGCCUUCCUUUGCAUUUUAUGGUCCUCAACAUUAGCCCCAUUGAUUAUUGGGGCCAUAGAGGGUUACUGAAAUGAGGCGAAUAAUCAAACCCCAACCCAAAAAUCAAAUCCAUGGUAGUGACGCAACCUUUCUUCUCCCGCGUGUAUGAUGACAGCAUGUCAUGAUGAUCUUCUAGCAAUCGUUUAUUCUUCCCAAGUAUUCCUGUGAUUGCAGACUUCUCUCUCCCUUUUUUCCUGAUUUUUCUUUUCAUUUUUCACCUUUUUUUUUUGUGCGUGUGAAGGAGAUAAAACCUUUUCUUCCUUUUCUUUUUUAAAAAAAAAUCUCAGCCCUCCUCUCUCAUUUCCUUCUCCGAGCGACUUAGAGCGAGAGAAAACAAAAGCAAGGAGAAACACUCAUCUACAACUGCUGGAAGGGAACCUAAGCCAAACUCCAGCUCCGCCGUUCCACGCACACACCUACGGCUGCUGGAAGGGAUCCCCUCUGCGGACUUCUCUUCCAAAAUUCCCAAUUUCUACCAUCUUCGUCCAUUUGAAGCCAGCUCAUGAAACAAGGGAUUGCCCUCUUCCUUCCCUAUUUUUUAAUCUAUUGAGGGAUAGCGAGCUUUGA
rnacentral:lncRNA from 1 species